rnacentral:rRNA from 1 species
CAUGCAGUCGAACGGUGAAAGAGAGCUUGCUCUCUGGAUCAGUGGCGAACGGGUGAGUAACACGUGAGCAACGUGCCCCAGACUCUGGGAUAACAGCUGGAAACAGCUGCUAAUACCGGAUACGAGACGUGAAGGCAUCUUCAACGUCUGGAAAGAAUUUCGGUCUGGGAUCGGCUCGCGGCCUAUCAGCUUGUUGGUGAGGUAACGGCUCACCAAGGCGUCGACGGGUAGCCGGCCUGAGAGGGUGACCGGCCACACUGGGACUGAGACACGGCCCAGACUCCUACGGGAGGCAGCAGUGGGGAAUAUUGCACAAUGGGCGAAAGCCUGAUGCAGCAACGCCGCGUGAGGGACGACGGCCUUCGGGUUGUAAACCUCUUUUAGCAGGGAAGAAGCGAAAGUGACGGUACCUGCAGAAAAAGCGCCGGCUAACUACGUGCCAGCAGCCGCGGUAAUACGUAGGGCGCAAGCGUUAUCCGGAAUUAUUGGGCGUAAAGAGCUCGUAGGCGGUUUGUCGCGUCUGCUGUGAAAACCCGAGGCUCAACCUCGGGCCUGCAGUGGGUACGGGCAGACUAGAGUGCGGUAGGGGAGAUUGGAAUUCCUGGUGUAGCGGUGGAAUGCGCAGAUAUCAGGAGGAACACCGAUGGCGAAGGCAGAUCUCUGGGCCGUAACUGACGCUGAGGAGCGAAAGGGUGGGGAGCAAACAGGCUUAGAUACCCUGGUAGUCCACCCCGUAAACGUUGGGAACUAGUUGUGGGGUCCAUUCCACGGAUUCCGUGACGCAGCUAACGCAUUAAGUUCCCCGCCUGGGGAGUACGGCCGCAAGGCUAAACUCAAGGAAUUGACGGGGACCCGCACAAGCG